rnacentral:rRNA from 1 species
CCUACGGGAGGCUGCAGUGGGGAAUAUUUCACAAUGGGGGAAACCCUGAUGCAGCGACGCCGCGUGAGUGAAGAAGUAUUUCGGUAUUUAAAGCUCUAUCAGCAGGGAAGAAGAAAGACGGUACCUGACUAAGAAGCACCGUCUAACUACGUGCCAGAAGCCGCGGUACUACGUAGGGGGCAAGCGUUAUCCGGAUUGACUGGGGGUAAAGGGAGCGUAGACGGUUGUGCAAGUCUGAAGUGAAAGCCCAGGGCUCAACCGUGGGACUGCUUUGGAAACUGUGGAUCUAGAGUGCUGGAGAGGUAAGUGGAAUUCCUAGUGUAGCGGUGAAAUGCGUAGAUAUUAGGAGGAACACCAGUGGCGAAGGCGGCUUACUGGACAGUAACUGACGUUGAGGCUCGAAAGCGUGGGGAGCAAACAGGAUUAGAUACCCGGGUAGUC